rnacentral:rRNA from 1 species
GACGAACGCUGGCGGCGUGCUUAACACAUGCAAGUCGAACGGGCCUUGUCCCCUUUUUUUUGUGGGUGGGGUUAGUGGCGCACGGGUGAGUAACACGUGAGUAACCUGCCCCUCACUUCUGUAUAACCGCUUGAAAGGGUGGCUAAUACGGGGUGUUCUGGCCUGCUCGCAUGGGUGGGUUUGGAAAGAUUCGACCGGUUUUGGUUGUUUUGGUGGGGGAUGGGCUCGCGGCCUAUCAGCUUGUUGGUGGGGUGAUGGCCUGCCAAGGCUUUGACGGGUAGCCGGCGUGAGAGGGUGCGCGGUCACACUGGGACUGAGACACGGCCCAGACUCCUACGGGAGGCAGCAGUGGGGUAUAUUGCACAAUGGGCGCACGCCUGAUGCAGCGACGCCGCGUGAGGGAUGGAGGCCUUCGGGUUGUGAACCUCUUUCGCCAGUGAAGAAGGUCCUGCUCUUUGUGGCGGGGUUGACGGUAGCUGGGUUAAUGAAGCGCCGGCUAACUACGUG